AAAAAAAUAGCCUGGAGCUCCUGUAAAAUAAUGAACAUAAAGGCCACCAAAAUUAGAGUGUACUGCUGCUGAGGCCAGAACCAAACAACUUCAAUAUUACAAUAAAAAGAAGUCUCAGGUUUAUCAAGCACAACAAAACAGCACUGUGGCCAUCAGUCAGCACUGUUAGAUUUUAAUUCUAAUCUUUUCCUAGGUUCUAUAAGCUUAAAUUUCAAAGACCUGAUUGACACUGUAGGUUCUAUAAGCUUAAAUUUCAGAAGUCAUCUUGCGGGGUACCAAGAACAAGAAAAUCAGUAGGAUAUUUUAUUUCCCCACACAAUACUUCAACAUAUCUAAUAAUCCCACAAGGUGAUAUGGUGUAUCUAUUUGCAAGUUUAAUACUAACAUCUAUGUCUUCUAACUCGGUAGGUGCUAUGUCUUUUAUAAUUUCUUGAUAUAGAGUGUAAGGAAUAGCACUCACACUAGCACCCAUGUCACAUAAACCAUGAUAACAGUGAUCUCCUAUUUUAACCAAAGUAACAGGCAUGCCAACAACAUGUCUAUGUUUGUCUCUUCCAUCAAGUUUAGCAAUUCUAGCAGCUUCUUCAUAGAAGUAAAUAACAUGCCAUCCAUAUCUUCUUCCAAGAGAUCUUUAACCAUAGCAAUGCUAGUUUCUACUUUAAUUUGUUCAUUAGGUUUAGGUGUUCUAACAUAGCUUUUGUUAACCAUAGUUGAAACUUUAGCAUGUUCUUUUAUCCUAAUAGGGAAAGGUGGUUCCUCAAUAUAAGAAGAAGGAACAACUGGAUGAACAAUAUAAAGUAUAGUUUCUUCUUUAACUGGUACUGGUUCUUUAAUUUCAUCUUUAAUAGUUGGGUGAUAUUUAAACCACUUAUCUUUAGGAAGUUCAACAUGAGUAGCAAAUGAUUCACAAAAGGAGGCUACUAUCUCAGAGUCAAAUCCAUAUUUAGUGCUAAACUUUUGAAAAGCAUCGGUAUCCAUGAAAGAUUUAGCACAAUCAUACUUAAGCUUUAUACCCGACUCUUUACCUUCAUUAAGUUCCCAAUCUUCAGAGUUGCAUUUAAUUCUUUCCAAAAGAUCCCACCAGAAUUCAAUAGUUUUCUUCAUAAAAGAACCAGCACAAGAAGUAUCCAGCAUGGUUUGAUCAUUACGAGAAAGCCGACCAUAAAAAUUCUGAAUAAUAAUUUCUCUUGAGAACUCAUGAUUGGGGAAUGAAUAUAGCAUCGACUUAAGCCUCCCCAAAGCUAGAUAGAUACUUUCUCCGUCACGAGGCCAAAAAUUAUAUAUAUAAUUCCGAUCACGAUGAACUAGAUGCAUAUGAUAAAUUUUUUGAUGGAACUCCAAUUUCAAACGAUUCCAAUUCCAUGAUCAAUAUCAUCGCAUAGCCUAUACCAUGCCAAUGCUUUUCUCUUCAAAGAUAAAGGGAAAACCUAUUUCAUCACUUCAUCCCUGGGUAAACCUGCAAGCUUAAACAAUCCACAAAUUUGUUCCACACGUAUCAAGUGCAUAUCAGGAUGUUCAGUUCCAUCUCCUGCAUAAGGAUUAGCUAGUAGUUGUUCUAUCAUACCCGAAGGGAUUUCAUACACUACAAGAAAUAUGUCAACUUGGGACCACCACUAUUGGUCACUGAAAGGUCACAAAUUUCCAUUUGCGACCUUUUUGUGACCAAAAACAAAAGGUCAAAAGCUGGCCAUCAUAAACUGACUAUAGCUAUCUUUCUUCUGGAAUGGUCGAAGACGUUUACGACCAAAAUAUUCCUACUGUGGCGUUUUGGUCACUAGCAACCUCCCCAGGCCACGUAGGCAUCCAGCAUGGCAAGCUGAUGUGGCACAAGAUUCAGCCCGGUCCAAUUCGGUUUUCUACAUGGGCCUAGCCCAACAAUUCAAGCUUUUUUUUCAAGUUAAUUCUUGUUGGCUACAUGGGCCAAGCCCAAUAUUUCAGCUUCUUUAUUUUUUGGCAUUAGCCUUCUUACAAUCAUUUAUUUUCUAUUUCAAUAAUUAUAUUUUGGCGCUGGUCCCACUAGUCAUAAUGCCAUACAUCAGUCACACAUGUCAGAAAUUUCAAAAUUGCUCAGAUUAUAUUCAUAAUAACUGGGUCCCGCUGGUCAAGUUUCCAUUUCACAUCUUUUCAACAUACAUAAUCAUUAUUUCAAAUAGGACAGAACAGAUAUAAUUCAUUAACACUACAUUAGACUUUUACAAUAUUACAAUUUACAAUUGGCUUCACACUUCAGAACCAAAAACUCUUUGCUAAGUACAGAACCAAAAAAUCUUUUCUAAGUACUGCUUCACACUUGGCUUCACAGCUUCACACUUGGCUUCACGGCUUCACACUCCAAAAAAAUAGGCCUGGAGCUCCUGUAAAAUAAUGAACAUAAAGGCCACCAAAAUUAGAGUGUACUGCUGCUGAGGCCAGAACCAAACAACUUCAAUAUUACAAUAUAAAGAAGUCUCAGGUUUAUCAAGCACAACAAAACAGCACUGUGGCCAUCAGUCAGCACUGUUAGAUUUUAAUUCUAAUCUUUUCCUAGGUUCUAUAAGCUUAAAUUUCAAAGACCUGAUUGAC
rnacentral:lncRNA from 1 species